AGGAAUAUUGGUCAAUGGACGAGAGUCUGAACCAGCCAAGUAGCGUGAAGGAUGACUGCCCUAUGGGUUGUAAACUUCUUUUAUAAAGGAAUAAAGUCGGGUAUGGAUACCCGUUUGCAUGUACUUUAUGAAUAAGGAUCGGCUAACUCCGUGCCAGCAGCCGCGGUAAUACGGAGGAUCCGAGCGUUAUCCGGAUUUAUUGGGUUUAAAGGGAGCGUAGAUGGAUAUUUAAGUCAGUUGUGAAAGUUUGCGGCUCAACCGUAAAAUUGCAGUUGAUACUGGAUAUCUUGAGUGCAGUUGAGGCAGGCGGAAUUCGUGGUGUAGCGGUGAAAUGCUUAGAUAUCACGAAGAACUCCGAUUGCGAAGGCAGCCUGCUAAGCUGCAACUGACAUUGAGGCUCGAAAGUGUGGGUAUCAAACAGGAUUAGAUACCCUGGUAGUCCACACAGUAAACGAUGAAUACUCGCUGUUUGCGAUAUACUGCAAGCGGCCAAGCGAAAGCGUUAAGUAUUCCACCUGGGGAGUACGCCGGCAACGGUGAAACUCAAAGGAAUUGACGGGGGCCCGCACAAGCGGAGGAACAUGUGGUCUAAUUCGAUGAUACGCGAGGAACCUUACCCGGGCUUAAAUUGCAGAUGAAUUACGGUGAAAGCCGUAAGCCGCAAGGCAUCUGUGAAGGUGCUGCAUGGUUGUCGUCAGCUCGUGCCGUGAGGUGUCGGCUUAAGUGCCAUAACGAGCGCAACCCUUGUUGUCAGUUACUAACAGGUUUUGCUGAGGACUCUGACAAGACUGCCAUCGUAAGAUGUGAGGAAGGUGGGGAUGACGUCAAAUCAGCAUGGCCCUUACGUCCGGGGCUACACACGUGUUACAAUGGGGGGUACAGAGGGCCGCUACCACGCGAGUGGAUGCCAAUCCCCAAAACCUCUCUCAGUUCGGACUGGAGUCUGCAACCCGACUCCACGAAGCUGGAUUCGCUAGUAAUCGCGCAUCAGCCACGGCGCGGUGAAUACGUUCCCG
rnacentral:rRNA from 1 species